CAUAGACCAAGACAGCUGCUCACCGCGCAGGGAGGCUUUCAGCCCGGAUCCAGCUCCCUGAACACACAGCGGGGCGAGGGAGGCCCGGGAUAGAGAGGGGCAAGACCACAGUCCAGGAAGAUACCGGGAAGAAGAAACCCGAGGAGGAGCAGGAGCCUUCGCUGACUGACUGGAGACGGCUCAGCGACCACACAACCAGCAGAAGAACAAAGCAGUGAUAGAAGGAGCGAACCCCAGACACCAGGAAGGAGGAACGAGGAACUCCAAAAGUACCAAGACAGAGGAGGAGAGAAGAAGUGCAGACUGGGAGAGUCCAGCAGGGUCCCGGUCCAACAUCUGAGUGCAGUCCUAGGAACGGCUACCGAACCCUGAGACUUCCUGCGGUAGGGGACCCGAGCCUGAGGAGGACCCAUAUAAAAUAAAGAUGCUCCCUUGGCCUCCAACCGUGCAGCUUCAUCCCCUCAUCACAGCCUCUCUGUGACCUCACCUGCUGCGUCUCCGCGCGCUCCAGCUGCUGGCAGACGGCGGCCCGGGGAGGUUUCUACCCGCCACUGUUCCAACGCUCACGAUGUCCCUCCUGUGUAAUGUGUGCGUACUACAUGUAGUCUGUGUGUAGUACUCGUGCUGACGGCGCUCUCUGUACAGAAGGAAUCUGAAUAUUGUAAAGUUUGCUGUAGUACCUCAGACUUAUUUAAAAUGUCCCGCCCCAUCCAGGCUGUGAUCGGUCGGUCGUAGGGCCGAACGAUUUGGGGGGCAAAAAUUUAAUUUCUGCCAGAUGUUACGAUUCGAUUUGCGUUGUUUAAAAAUUAAGUUCAGCUGAAGUCCAAUAUUCACUGCCGCUCUGUUUCUGCAGAGGAACCGGGCAGGAAGUCGGACACAGAACGGCAGAGAGAUUCUGGUCGAUUUUCAAAAUAAAACGGCCUGUGCAGACUGCAGAUGGUGUAUCAACAAUAAACACAGUUAAACAGAGAAAAGACAGAACUGCGUAGCUACUUAACCGUGGCGGAAGCACAGAAAUCAAGGACAACUGAACAAGUCAGCAAAAUAAGACGGGCGAAACGCUCUUAUUCUGAAAAGCUCCAUGCGGGAUCUGUAGUUCACAGAAUGACAAAGUCACAGCGGGUUGUUGUCUUUAACGUCACUCGCACACAGCUCCUGAAUCUGCUGUUGGCGGGUAUCUGUUUAUCAGCUGAUAAACCAGCACCGCUCGUCCCAGACCGGGGCCAGCCCUGAUCUGAGGUCUCAGACCAGAGCUGGACAGGCCUCCUCAGCCCUCGGUAAUCCUCCUCCACCCUCUGAACACACAUGUGGUGACGAACACCACCUACAGACCAGGACCUGAACCCUGUCCUUCCUGUCGUUACCUUUUGUGUCUGAAACCUUUAUUUCUAUUAAAGGUGUGUUUGUUUUUUUACA